rnacentral:rRNA from 1 species
CAAGUCGAGCGAUAUAGCGGCGAACGGGUGAGUAACACGUUGGAACCUGCCCAGAACUCAGGGAUAGCCUACCGAAAGGUGGAUUAAUACCGGAUAGUCCUCAACCUAGUUGAGGUAAAGAUUUAUCGGUUCUGGAGGGGCCUGCGCAGUAUCAGUUUGUUGGUAAGGUAACGGCUUACCAAGACUACGACGCUUAACUGGUCUGAGAGGAUGAUCAGUCACAAUGGAACUGAGAUACGGUCCAUACUCC